AACGAACGCUGGCGGCGCGUCUUAAGCAUGCAAGUCGAACGGCAAGAAAGAAGCUUGCUUCUUUCCUAGAGUGGCGGACUGGUGAGUAACGCGUGGGUAAUCUGCCUUAAGAUGGGGAUAGCCGCUAGAAAUAGCGAUAAUACCGAAUACACUUCAAGUUUCAAAAGGAGCGUGAAGGAAAGGAAGCUAAGGCUUCGCUUAAAGAUGAGCCUGCGUCCCAUUAGCUAGUUGGUAAGGUAACGGCCUACCAAGGCGACGAUGGGUAUCCGGCCUGAGAGGGUGAUCGGACACAUUGGGACUGAGAUACGGCCCAAACUCCUACGGGAGGCAGCAGCUAAGAAUAUUCCGCAAUGGACGGAAGUCUGACGGAGCGACGCCGCGUGGAUGAAGAAGGCUGAAAAGUUGUAAAAUCCUUUUGUUGAUGAAGAAUAAGGGGAAGAGGGAAUGCUUCUCUGAUGACGGUAAUCGGCGAAUAAGCCCCG
rnacentral:rRNA from 1 species